UACGGGAGGCAGUAGUGGGGAAUAUUGCACAAUGGGCGAAAGCCUGAUGCAGCUAUGCCGCGUGUAUGAAGAAGGCCUUAGGGUUGUAAAGUACUUUCAUCGGGGAGGAAAAAACAAAACUAAUAAUUUUAUUUCUUGACGUUACCCGAAAAAGAAGCACCGGCUAACUCCGUGCCAGCAGCCGCGGUAAUACGGAGGGUGCUAGCGUUAAUCAGAAUUACUGGGCGUAAAGAGCACGUAGGUGGUUUUUUUAAGUCAGAUGUGAAAUCCCUGGGCUUAACCUAGGAACUGCAUUUUGAAACUGAAAUACUAGAGUAUCGUAGAGGGAGGUAGAAUUCUAGGUGUAGCGGUGAAAUGCGUAGAUAUCUGGAGGAAUACCUGUGGCGAAAGCGGCCUCCUAAACGAAUACUGACACUGAGGGUGCGAAAGCGUGGGGAGCGAAACAGGGAUUAGAUACC
rnacentral:rRNA from 1 species